rnacentral:rRNA from 1 species
CCUACGGGAGGCAGCAGUGGGGAAUCUUGCACAAUGGAGGAAACUCUGAUGCAGCGAUGCCGCGUGAGUGAAGAAGGCCUUUGGGUUGUAAAGCUCUUUUGUAGGGGAAGAUAAUGACUGUACCCUAAGAAUAAGGUCCGGCUAACUUCGUGCCAGCAGCCGCGGUAAUACGAAGGGACCUAGCGUAGUUCGGAAUUACUGGGCGUAAAGCGCGCGUAGGCCGUUGAGUUAGUUAAUUGUGAAAUCCCAAAGCUUAACUUUGGAACUGCAAUUAAAACUGCUCGACUAGAGUUUGAUAGAGGAAAGCGGAAUACAUAGUGUAGAGGUGAAAUUCGUAGAUAUUAUGUAGAACACCAGUUGCGAAGGCGGCUUUCUGGAUCAACACUGACGCUGAGGCGCGAAAGUAUGGGUAGCAAAGAGGAUUAGAUACCCUCGUAGUCCAUACCAUAAACGAUGAUNUNUANAUGUGUAAUUAUUUACUAUAUCNCANCUACGCAUA